rnacentral:misc_RNA from 1 species
AAGGAGAAGCUACUUGACAAUGGGGACCGUUGGGAGACUGAGAUUGCAGAGAACCUGAGAUCAGAGAGUCUCUAUCGUUGAGGUUUUCUUGCUCGUUGAAACUAAAAUUUUUCACAAGAAAAUAAAAGAUCUGUAUAUGGUCUUGAAUACUCGUAUUGAAAAUUUUUGUGAUUCAGUAUUUUUUUUUUUUUUUUGAAUUUGCUGUUC